UACGAAGGGGGCUAGCGUUGCUCGGAAUUACUGGGCGUAAAGCGCACGUAGGCGGCUUUCUAAGUCGGGGGUGAAAUCCUGGAGCUCAACUCCAGAACUGCCUUCGAUACUGGAGAGCUUGAGUCCGGGAGAGGUGAGUGGAACUGCGAGUGUAGAGGUAAAAUUCGUAGAUAUUCGCAAGAACACCAGUGGCGAAGGCGGCUCACUGGCCCGGUACUGACGCUGAGGUGCGAAAGCGUGGGGAGCAAACAGG
rnacentral:rRNA from 1 species